AGAGUCGCCAGCCUCUUUGACAGCUGUCAGGAUUUGGACUCUUGUUGUUCGUCGUUUGCUUCAUCAGUUGACAGUAGACCUCGUCCCGCAGUGGUUCAUAUUUGUGACAGUGCUGAUUGGAUGAAAGGGAAUGAAAAUGUAUAGACACACUUGACCUCACUCAUAUCCGGUGGCAGUGCCUGAUCUCCCAUGUACCUCAUCAGGCAGAGGAAGCACUCGACAGCCAACGUGCUCAAGUCAUUCUCAAGUCUCAGCAAACUGUGCUCGAUGGGAACAGCUGAGUACUUUACAAGAUCAACUUGUUCCUUCCAAGUCCACUCGGCUCCAUCCUGCUGACCUUUGCCCUUUUUGUUCUUCUUCUUGCUCUUCAAGGACUCUAUCACUUUCAAGGAACCACUUAUAGAACCGUCCGCCGUCUUCAGCAUCUCGAAUCUGUAAACCCAGUAUCUAUCAGCUUCGGAUCAAAACGUUCAACGUGUCAGACUUCACUCAGAGAAAUGAAGAAGACAAGAACAACGAAAGCUCCUUGAUUCUAUACUCCAUCUGGGAAUUUUCUAUGGCUGCCGUGUGUUAUGCUUUCUCAACACGACUUGUGUGCUGCAGCCUCUUGCGCAAGUUCUUCAAACUACGAUCCAAAAAACAGCCACUUCACUGAAGUCCCACGCAAAAACACAUCCUCCACUUCGCAUCGGCACAUGCACGAGUGAGCAUCUCGACUGGCUGAUAAAAAAGAAAAAUUAAAUCUGAAAAACCGGAUUCCCUCGAGUGACAACUUCAAAACCGGAAAUCCCCCCUGGUGACCGAAGUUCAAAACGAGGAGAAAUCCCGGGAAGAUCCAUAUAAAAAUUCAUAACGAUCUCACUGAAGAUGCAGCUGAUUGUGGGAAGCUGCGUGAAAAUUUUAUACAAACUCAACAAAGUACCCAUGCACUCGUCCCGGCACGGAUGAAGUAGCUCAUUUUCGCUCACAGUUCAUUUUCGUUUUUACCAUAAUCGCCGGCACCACUACAAUCAUCAUAAUCAUUGUGAUGAUCGUCAUCGUCAUCACGACCUCAGGCACACGACUCUCCUCUACGGGAGCCGUGAGAAAGAAACGAAGCGAAGGACUCUCGUGGGAUAAACAGCGGAAGAACAAUAUGCAUGUUUAAUUAUAAUUAUCGCGUCGACUAAAUUCUCAUCUUACGAAUGGGAGAGGCCUAAAAAACUUUCCUAAGAAAAUAUUCUCGCAGGCUUGUGAACCUGCCUUCACUUUUCUCCGGUUCAUUUUCAUCUGGAUCCCAUAUCGCUUAUAUACACUAUACAGCUACGACUAUGGAUUCUGACGAUCCAAAAAAAAAAAAAAAAAAA